CUAGACAGAAGCAUUCUCAGAAACUUCUUUGUGAUGUUUGCAUUCAACUCACAGAGUUGAACAUUCCUUUUCAUAUAGCAGUUUUGAAGCACUCUUUUUGUAGAAUAUUCAAGUGGACAUUUGGAGCGCUUUGAGGCCUAUGGUGAAAAAGGGAACAUCUUCACAUAAAAACUAGACAGAAGCAUUCUCAGAAACUUCUUUUUGAUGUGUGUACUCAACUCACAGAUUUGAACAUUUCUUUUGAUAGAGCAGUUUUGAAACACUCUCUUUGUAGUAUCUGCAAGUGGAUAUUUGGACUCUUUGAGGCUUUCUUUGGAAACGGGAAUAUCUUCACAUAAAAGCUAGACAGAAGCAUUCUCAGAAACUACUUCGUGACGUUUGCAUUCAACUCAGAGAGUAGAACAUUGCUUUUCAUGGAGCAGUUUUGAAACACUCUUUUUGUUGGAUCUGCAAGUGGACAUUUGGAGCGCUUGGAGGCCUAUGGUGAAAAAGAAAUAUCUUCACAUAAAAACUAGACAGAAGCCGUCUCAUAAACUUCUCUUUGAUGUGUGUACUCAACUCACAGAGAUGAACUUUUCUUUUGCUAGAGCAGUUUUGUAAUCCUCUUUUUGAAGCAUUUACAAGUGGAUAUUCGGACAGCGAUGAGGCUUUCAUUGGAAACGGGAAUAUCUUAACAUAAAAACUAGACUGAAGCCUUCUCAGAAACUUCUUUGUGAUGUGUGCAUUCAACUCCCAGUGUUGAAACUUUCUUUUGAUAGAGCAGAUUGGAAACACUCUCUUUGUAGAAUCUACAAGUGUAUAUUUGUACAGCUUUAAGGCUUUCGUUGGAAACGGGAAUAUCUUCACUUAAAAACUAGACAGAAGCAUUCUCAGAAACUUCUCUUUGAUGUUUCGCAUUCAGCUCACAGAGUUGAACAUUCCUUUCCAUAGAGCACUUUUGAAACACUCUUUUUGUAGUAUCUGCAAGUGGGCAUUUGGAGAGCUUUGAGGCCUGUGGUGAAAAAGGAAAUAUCUUCACAUAAAAACUAGAUAGAAGCAUUCUCAGAAACUUCUUUGUGAUGUGUGCAUUCAACUCACAGAGUUGAACAUUCCUUUUCAUAGAGCAGUUUUGAAACUCUCUUUUUGUAGAAUCUGCAAGUGGACAUUUUGACCACUUUGAGGCCUUCAUUCGAAACGGGAAUAUCUUCAAAUAAAAGUACACAGAAGCAUUCUCAGAAACUUCUUUGUGAUGUGUGCAUUCAACUCACAGAGUUGAACCCUUCUUUUGAUACAGCAGUUUUGAAACACUCUCUUCGUAGAAUCUGCAAUUGGACAUUUGGUGUGCUUUGAGGCCUAUGGUGAAAAAAGAAAUAACUUUACAUAAAAACUAGACAGAAGCAUUCUCAGAAACUUCUUUCUGAUGUUUGCGUUUAACUCACAGAGUUGAACAGUCCUUUUCAUAGAGCAGUUUGAAACACUCUUUUUGUAGAAUCUGCAGGUGGACAUUUGGAGCGCUUGGAGGCCUAUGAUGAAAAAGGAAAUAUCUUCACAUAAAAACUAGACAGAAACAUUCUCAGAAACUGCUUUUUUGAUGUGUGUACUCACCUCACAGAGAUGAACAUUUCUUUUUCUAGAGCAGUUUUUAAACACCCUUUUGGAAGCAUUUACAAGUGGAUAAUUGGAGAGCUUUGAGGCUUUCGUUGGAAACCGGAAUAUCUUCACAUAAACACUGGAACGAAGCAUUCUCAGAAACUUCCUUGUGAUGUGUGCAUUCAACUUACAGUGUUGUAACUUUCUUUUGAUAGCGUAGAUUGGAAACACUCUUUUUGUAGAAUUUGCAAUUGGAUAUUUGGACACCUUUGAGGCCUUCGCUGAAAACGGGUUUAUCUUCACAUAAAAACUAGACAGAAGCAUUCUCAGAAACUUCUUUGUGAUGUUUGCAUUCAACUCACAGAGUUGAACAUUCCUUUUCAUAGAGCAGUUUUGAAACACACUUUUUGCAGAAUCUGCAAGUGGACACAUGGAGCGCUUUGAGGCCUAUGGUGAAAACGGAAAUAUCUUCACAUAAAAACUAGACACAAGCAUUCUCAGAAACUUCUUUUUGAUAUGUAUACUCAACUCACAGAGUUAAACUUUCUUUUGAUAGAUCAGUUUUGAAACAUUCUUCUUGUAGAAUUUACAAUUGGAUAUUAGGACAGCCUUGAGGUUUUCUUUGGAAACAGGAAUAUCUUCACAUAUAAACUAGGCAAAAGCAUUCUCAGAAACUUCAUUGGGAAGUUUCCAUUCAAAUCACAGAGUUGAAUAUUUCUUUUCAUAGAGCAGUUUUGAAACACUCUUUUUGUAGAAUCUGCAAGUGGACAUUUGGAGCGCUUUGAGGCCUACUGUGAAAAAGGAUAUAUCUUCACAUAAAAACUAGACAGAAGCAUUCUCAGAAACUUCUUUGUGAUGUGUGUACUCAACACAAAGAGUUAAACCUUUCUUUUGAUAGAGCAGUUUUGAAACACUCUUCUUGUAGAAUUUACAAGUCUAUAAUUGGACAGCUUUGAGACUUUUGUUGGAAACGGAAAUAACUUCACCUAAAAAGUAGACGGAAUCAGUCUCAGAAACUUCUUUGUUUUGUGUGCAUUCUACUCACAGUGUUGAAAAUUUCCUUUUAUAGAGCAGAAAGGAAACAAUGUUUUUGUAGAAUGUGCUUGUGGAUAUUUGGACGGCUUUGAGGCCUUCACAGGAAACGGGACUAUCAUCAUAUAAAAACUAGACAGAAGCAUUCUCAGAAACUUCUUUUUGAUGUGUAUACUCAACUUACAGAGUUGAACAUUUCUUUUGUUAGAGCAGUUUUGAAACACUAUUUUUGUAGGGUCUGCAAGGGGAUAUUUGGAUAGCUUUGUGGCUUUCUUUGGAAACGGGGAUUACUUCACAUAAAAACUACACAGAAGCAUUCUCAGAAACUUCUUUGUAAUGUUUGAAUUCAACUCACAGAGUUGAACAUUCCCUUUCAUAGAGCAGUUUUGAAACACUCUUUUUCUAGAAUCUGCAUGUGAACAUUUGAAGCGCUAUGAGGCCUAUGGUGAAAAAGAAAAUAUCUUCACAUAAAAACUAGACAGAAGCAUUCUCAAAAACUUCUUUGUGAUGUGUGUACUCAACUCACAGAGUUAAAACUUUCUUUUGAUAGAGCAGAUUUGAAACACUCUUUUUCUAGGAUUUACAAGUUGAUAUUAGGACAGCUUUGAGGCUUUCGUUGGAAACGGGAAUACCUUCACAUAAAAAAUAGAAGCAUUCUAGAAACUUCUUUGUGAACGUUGCAUUCAACUCACAGAGUUGAACAUGCCUUUUAAUAGAGCAGUUAUGAAACACUCUUUUUGUAGAAUCUGCAAGUGGACGCUUUGAGGCCUAUGGUGGAAAAGGAAAUAUCUUCACAUAAAAACUAGACAGAAGCAUUCUCAGAAACUUCUUUGUGAUGUGUGUACUCAACUCACAGAGUUGAACCUUUCUAUUGAUAGAGCAGUUUUGAAACACUCUUUUUGUAAAACCUGCAAAUGGACAUUUGGAGCGAUUUUAGGCCUAUGGUGAAAAAAGUUAUAUCUUCACAUAAAAACAAGACAGAAGCAUUCUCAGAAACUUCUUUGUGAUGUGUGCACUCAACACACAGAGUUAAAACUUUCUUUUGACAGAGCAGUUUUGAAACACUCUUCUUGUAGAAUUUACAAGUCGAUAAUUCUACAGCUUUGAGGCUUUUGUUGGAAACGGAAAUAACUUCACCUAAAAACUAGACAGAAGCAUUCUCAGAAACUUCUUUGUUUUGUGUGCAUUCCACUCACAGUGUUGAAAAUUUCUUUUGAUAGAGCCGAUUGGAAACACUCUUUUUGUAGAAUUUACUAGUGGAUAUUUGGACAGCUUUGAGGCCUUCACAGGAAAUGGGAAUAUCUUCACAUAAAAACUAGACAGAACUAUUCUCAGAAACUUCUUUGUGAUGUGUAUACUCAACUCACAGAGUUGAACACUUCUUCUGAUAGAGCAGUUUUGAAACACUCUCUUUGUAGAAUCUGCAAGUGGAUAUUUGGACAGCUUUCUGGCUUUCGAUGGAAACGGGGAUAUCUUCACAUAAAAACUACAGAGAAGCAUUCUCAGAAACUUCUUUGUGAUGUUUGCAUACAACUCACAGAGUUGAACAUUCCUUUUCAUAGAGUAGUUUUGAAACACUCUUUUUGUAGAAUCUGCAAGUGAAUAUUUGGAGCGCUUCGAGGCCUACGGUGAAAAAGGAAAUAUCUUCACAUAAAAACCGGCAGAAGCAUUCUCAGAAACUUCUUUGUGAUGUGUGUACUCAACUCACAGAAUUAAACCUUUAUUUUGAUAGAGCAGUUUUGAAACACUCUUCUACAAGAAUUUACAAUUGGAUAAUAGGACAGCUUUGAGGCUUUCGUUGGAAACGGGAAUAUCUUCACAUAAAAACUAGAUAGAAGAAUUCUCAGAAACUUCUUUGUGAAGUUUGCAUUCAAAUCACACAGUUGAACAUCCCUUUUAUUAGAGCAGUUUUGAACACUCUUUUUCUAGAUCCUGUAAGUGGACAUUUGCAGCGCUUUGAGGCCUACGGUGAAAAAGGAAAUAUCAUCACAAAAUACUAGACAGAAGGAUUCUCAGAAACUUCUUUGUGAUUUGUGUACUCAACUCACAGAGUUAAACCUUUCUUUUGAUAGAGCAGUUUUGAAACACUCUUCUUGUACAAUUUACAAGUGGAUAUUAGGACAGCUUUGAGGCUUUCGUUGGAAACGGGAAUAUCUUCACAUAGAAAUUAGACAGAAGCAUUCUCAGAAACUUCUUUGUCACGUGUGCAUUCAACUCACAGAGUUGAAACUUUCCUUUGAUAGAGCAGAUUGGAAACACACUUUUUGAAAUAUUUGCAAGUGGAUAUUUGGACAGCUUUGAGGCUUUCGCUGGAAAUGGGUGUAUCUUCACAAAAAAACUAGACAGAAGCAUUCUCAGAAACUUCUUUGUGAUGUGUGUACUCGACUCACAGAGUUGAACCUUUCUUUUGAUAGAGCAGUUUUCAAACACACUUCUUGCAGAAUUUACAAGUGGAUAUUAGGACAGAUUUGAGGCUUUCGUUGGAAAUGGGAAUAUCUUCACACAAAAAGUAGACAGAAGCAUUCUCAGAAACUUCUUUGUGAAGUUUGCAUUCAAAUCACAUUUUUGAACAUACCUUUUAAUAGAGCAGUUUUGAAACACACUGUAGAAACUGCAAGUGGACAUUUGCAGCGCUUUGAGGCCUAUGGUGAAAAAAAAAAUCUUCGUAUAAAAACUAGACAGAAGCACUCUCAGAAACUUCUUUGUGAUGUGUGUACUCAACUCACAGAGUUAAACCAUUCUUUUGAUAGAGGGGUUUUCAAAAACACUUCUUGUAGAAUUUACAAUUGGAUAUUAGGACAGCUUUGAGGCUUUUGUUGGAAACCAGAAUAUCUUCACACAAAAACUAGACAGAAGCAUUGUCAGAAACAUCUUUGUGAAGUUUGCAUUCAAAUCACAUAGUUGAACUUACCUUUUAAUGGAGCAAUUUUGAAAUACUGUUUUUGAAGGGUCUGCAAGUGGACAUUUGCAGCGCUUUCAGGCCUUUAGUGAAAAAGGAAAUAUCUUCCCAUAAAAACUAGACAGAAACAUUCUCAGAAACUUCUCUGUGAUGUGUGUAAUCAACUCACAGAGUUGAAACUUUCCUUUGAUAGAGCAGUUUCGAAACAAUCUUGUAGAAUCUGCAAGUGGAUAUUUGGACAGCUUUGAAUCUUUCGGUGGAAAAGGGAAUAUCUUCACAUGAAAACUAGACAGAAGAAUUCUCAAAAACUUCUUUGUGAUGUUUGCCUUCAACUCACAGAGUUGAACAUUCCUUUUCUUAGAGCAGUUUUCAAACACUCUUUUUGUAGAAUCUGCAAGUGGACAUUUGGAGCGCUUUCAGUCCUAUUGUGAAAAAGGAAUUAUCUUCAUAUAAAAACUAGACAGAAGAAUUCUCAGAAACUUCUUUGUGAUGUGUGUACUCAACUCACAGAGUUAAACCUUUCUUUUGAUAGAGCAGUUUUGAAACACUCUGCUUGUAGAAUAUGUAAGUGGAUAUUUCGACAGCUUUGAGGCUUUCGUUGGAAACGGGAAAAUCUUCACAUAGAAACUACACAGAAGCAUUCUCAGAAACUUCUUUGUGAUAUGCGUCUUCAACUCACAGAGCUGAAACUUUCCUUUGACGGAGCAGAUUUGAAACACACUUUUUGUAGAAUUUGCAAGUGGAUAGGUUUGAGGUUUGGACAGGUUUGAGGCCUUCGCUGGAAACGGGAGUAUCUUCACAAAGAAACUAGAUAGAAGCAUUCUCAGAAACUACUUUGUGAUGUGUGUACUAAACUCAGAGAGUAGAACCUUUCUUUUGAUACAACAGUUUUGAAACACUCUGUUUGUAGAAUUUGCAAGUCGAUAAUUGGACAGCUUUGAGGCUUUCGUUGGAAACGGGAAUAUCUUCACAUAGAAACUAGACAGAAACAUUCUCAAAAACUGCUUUGUGAUGUGUGCAUUCAACUCACAGAGUUGAAACUUUCUUUUGAUAGAGCAGAUUUGAAACACACUUUUUGUAGAAUUUGCAAAUGGAUAUUUGGACAGCUUUGAGGACUUCACAGGAAACUGGAGUAUCUUCACAAAAAAACUAGACAGAAGGAUUCUCAGAAACUUCUUGUGAUGUGUGUGAUCAACUCGCAGAGUUGAAACAUUCUUUUGAUAGAGCAGUUUUGAAACACUGUUUUUGUAGAAUCUGCAGGUGGAUAUUUGGAUAGCUUUGAGGCUUUCAUGGGAAACGGGAAUAUUUUCACAUAAAAACUAGAUAGAAGCAUUCUCAGAAACUUCUUUGUGUUGUGUGCAUUCUACUCACAGUGUUGAAAAUUUCUUUUGAUAGAGCAGAUUGGAAACACUCUUUUUGUAGAAUUUGCUAGUGGAUAUUUGUACAGUUUUGAGGUCUACGCAGGAAAUGGGAAUAUCUUAAUAUAAAAACUAGACAGAAGUAUUCUCAGAAACUUCUUUGUGAUGUGUAUACUCACCUCACAGAGUUGAACAUUUCUUCUGAUAGAGCAGUUUUGAAACACUCUCUUUGUAGAAUCUGCAAGUGGAUAUUUGGACAGCUUUCUGGCUUCAAUGGAAAUGGGGAUAUCUUCACAUAAAAACUAGACAGAAGCAUUCUCAAAAACUUCUUUGUGAUGUCUGCAUUCAACUCACAGAGUUGAACAUUCCUUUUCAUAGAGAAGAUUUGGAGCACUCUUUUUGUAGAAACUGCAAGAGAACAUUUGGAGCACUUCGAGGCCUAAGGUUAAAAAGGAAAUAUCUUCACUUAAAAACUAGACAGAAGAAUUCUCAGAAACUUCUUCGUUAUGUGUGUACUCAACUCACAGAGUUGAUCCUUUCUUUUGAUAGAGCAGUUUUGAAAAACACUCUUUGUUGAAUCUGCAAGUGGAUAUUUGGACAGCUUUGAAACUUUCUUUGGAAAUGUCAAUAUCUUCACAUAAAAACUAGACAGAAGCAUUCUCAGAAACUUUUUUGUGAAGUUUGCAUUCAAAUCACAGAGUUGAACAUACCUUAAAUAGAGCAGUUUUGAAACAAUCUUUUUGUAGAAUCUGCAAGUAGACAUUUGCAGCGCUUUGAGGCCUAAGGUGUAAAAGGAAAUAUCUUCACAUAAAAACUAGACAGAAGCAUUCUCAGAUACUUCUUUGUGAUAUGUGUACUCAACUCACCGAGUUGAACCUUUCUUGUGAUAGAGCAGUUUUGAAACACUCUCUUUGUAGAAUCUGCAAUUGGAUAUUUGGACAGCAUUGAAUCUUUCGUUGGAAACGGGAAUAUUUUCACAUAAAAACUAAACAGAAGCAUUCUCAGAAACUUCUUUGUGGUGUGUGCACUCAAGUCACAGAAUUGAACCUUUCUUACAAUAGAGCAGUUUUGAAACCCUCUCUUUGUAGAAUAUGCAAGUGGAUAUUUGGACAGCUUUGAAUCUUUCGUUGGAAACUGGAAUAUCUUCACAUAAAAACUAGACAGAAGCAUACUCAAUAACUACUUUGUGAUGUUUCCCUUCAACUCACAGAUUUGAACAUUCUUUUUCAUAGAGCAGUUUUGAGACACUCUUUUUGUCGAAUCUGCAAGGGGACAUUUGGAGCGCUUUGAGGCCUAUGGUGAAAAAGGAAAUAUCUUCAUAUAAAAACUAGACAGAAGCAUUCUCAGAAACUUCUUUGUGAUGUGUGUAGUCAACUCACAGGGUUAAACCUUUCUUUUGAUAGAGCAGAUUUCAAACACUCUUCUUGUAGAAUUUACAAGUGGAUAUUAGGACAGCUUUGAGGGUUUCGUUGGAAAAGGAAUAUCUUCACAUAAAAACUAGACAGAAGCAUUCUCAGAAACGUCUUUGUGAAGUUUGCAUUCAAAUCACACAGAUGAACAUAACUUUUAAUGGAACAGUUUUGAAACACUCUUUUUGUAGGAUCUGCAAGUGGACAUUUGCAGCGCUUUGAGGCCUAAAGUGAAAAAGGAAAUAUCUUCACAUAAAAACUAGAUAGAAGCAUUCUCGGAAACUUCUUUAUGAAGUUUGCAUUCAAAUCAGAGUUCAACAUACAUUUUAAUAGAGUAGUUUUGAAACACUCUUUUUCUAGUAUAUGUCAGUGGACAUUUGCAGCGCUUUGAGGCCUAUGGUGAAAAAGGAAAUAUCUUCACAUUAAAACUAGACAGAAGCAUUCUCAGAAACUUCUUUGGGAUGUGUGUACUCAACUCACCGAAUUAAACCUUUCUUUUGAUAGAGCAGUUUUGAAACACUCUUCUUGUAGAAUUUACAAGUCGAUAAUUGGACAGCUUUGAGGCUUUCGUUGGAAGCGGGUAUAUAUUCACAUAGAAACUAGACAGAAGCAUUCUCAGAAACUACUUUGUGAUGUGUGCAUUCAACUCACAGAGUUGAAAUUUUCUUUUGAUAGACCAGAUUUGAAACACACUUUUUGUAGAAUUUGCUAGUGGAUAUUUGGACAGCUUUGAGGCCUUCGCAGGAAGCGGGAAUAUCUUCAUAUAAAAACUAGACAGAAUUAUUCUCAGAAACUUCUUUGUGAUGCGUAUACUCAACUUACAGAGCUGAAACUUUCUUUUGAUAGAGCAGUUCUGAAACAUUCUUCUUGUAGAAUCUGCAAGUGGAUAUUUGGACAGCUUUGAAUCUUUCCUUGGAAACGGGAAUAUCUUCACAUAAAAACUAGACAGAAGCAUUCUCAAAAUCUUCUUUGUGAUGUUUGCCUUCAACUCACAGAUUUGAACACACCUUUUCAUGGAGCAGUUUUGAAACACUCCUUUUGUACAAUCUGCAAGUGGACACUUGGAGCGCUUUGAGGCCUAUGGUGAAAGAGAAAAUAUCCUCAUAUAGAAACGAGACAGAAGCAUUCUCAGAAACUUCUUUGUGAUGUGUGUACUCAACUUACAGAGUUAAACUUUUCUUUUGAUAGAGCAGUUUUGAAACACUCUCUUUGUAGUAUGUGCAAUUGGAUAUUUGGACAGCUUUGAAUCUUUCUUUGGAAACGGGAAUAUCUUCACAUAAAAACUAGACAGAAUCAUUCUCAGAAACUUCUUUGUGAAGUUUGCAUUCAAAUAGCAGAGUUCAACAUUCCUUUUAAUAGAGCAGUUUUGAAACACAGUUUUUGUAGAAUCUGCAAGUGGACAUUUGCAGUACUUUGAGGCCAAUGGUGAAAAAAGAAAUAUCUUCACAUAAAAACUAGACAGAAGCAUUCUCAGAAGCUUCUUUGUGAUGUGUGCACUCAACUCACAGAAUUGAACCUUUCUUUUGAUAGAUCAGUUUGGAACUCUCUCUUUGUAGAAACUGUAAGUGGAUAUUUUGGCAGUUUUGGAUCUUUCGUUGGAAACGGGAAUAACUUCACAUAAAAACUAGACAGAAGCAUUCUCAAAAACUACUUUGUGAUGUUUGCCUUCAACUCACAGAGUUGAACAUUCCUUUUCAUAGAGCAGUUUUGUAACACUUUUUUUGUAGAAUCUGAAAGUGGAUAUUUGGAGCGCUUUGAGGCCUAUCGUGAAAAAGGAAAUAUCUUCACAUAAAAACUAGACAGAAGCAUUCUCAGAAACUUCUUUGUUAUGUGUGUACUAAACUAACAGAUUUGAACCUUUUUUUUGAUAGAGCAUUUUUGAAACACUCUCUUUGUAGAAUCUGCAAGUGGAUGUUUGGAAAGCUUUCAAUCCUUCGUUGGAAACGGGAUUAUCUUCACAUAAAAACUAGACAGAAGCAUUCUCAGAAACUAGUUUGUUAAUGUGUUCUCAACUCACAGAAUUAAACCUUUCCUUUGAUACAGCACUUUUGGAACACUCUUGUUGUAAAAUUUACAAGUAGAUAUUAGGACAUCAUUGAGGAUUUCGUUGGAAACGGGAAUAUCUUCACAUAAAACUAGACAGACGCAUUCUUAGAGACUUCUUUGUGAUGUCUGCAUUCAACUCACAGAGUUGAAACUUUCUUUUGAUAGAGCAGAUAGGAAACCCUCUUUUUGCCUAAUUUGCAAGUGGGUAUUUAGACAGCUUUGAGGCCUUUGCUGGAAACGGGUAUAUCUUCACAUAGAAAAUAGACAGAAGCAUUCUCAGAAACUUCUUUGUGAUGCUUGCAUUCAACUCACAGAGCUGAACACUCCUUUUCAUAGAGCAGUUUUGAAACACUCUUUUUGAAGAAUCUGGAAGUGGAAAUUUGGAGGGUUUUGAGGCCUAUGGUGAAAAAGGAAAUAUCUUCCCAUAAAAACUAGACAGAAGAAUUCUCAGAAACUACUUUGUGAUGUGUGUACUCAACUCACAGCGUUGAAUCUUUCUUUUGAUACAGCAGUGUUGAAACACUCUUUUUGUAGAAUCUGCAAAUCGAUAUUUUGAUAGCUUUGAGGUUUUUGCUGGAAACGUGAAUAUCUUCACAAAAAACUGGACACAAGCAUUCUCAGAAACUUGUUUGUGAGUCUUGCAUUCAACUCACAGAGUUAAACAUUCCUUUUCAUAGUCUAGUUUUGAAACACUCUUUUUGUAGAAUCUGCAAGUGGACAUUUGGAGCGAUUUGAGACCUAUAGUGAAAAAGGAAAUAUCUUCACAUAAAAACUAGACAGAAGCAUUCUCAGAAACUGCUUUGUGAUGUGUGUACUCAACUCACAGAGUUGAACCUUACUUUUGAUACAGCAGUUUUGAAAAACUUUUUUUGUAGAGUCUGCAAGUGGAUAUUUGGAUAGCUUUGAGGCUUUCAUUGGAAACGGGAAUAUCAUCACAAAACAACUAGACAAAAUCAUUCUCAGAAACUUCUUUGUGAUGUUUGCAUUCAAUUCACAGAGUUGAACAUUCCUUUUCAUAGAGCUCUAUUGAAACACUCUUUUUGUAAAAUCUGCUAGUGGACAUUAGGAGCUAUUUGAGACCAAUGGUAAAAAAGGAAAUAUCUUCACAUAAAAAGUAGACAGAAGCAUUCUCAGAAACUACUUUGCGAUGUGUGUACUAAACUCAAAGAGUUAAACCUUUCCUUUGAUACAGCAGUUUUGAAACACUCUUUUUGUUGAAUUUACAAGUGGAUAUUGGAGAGCAUUGAGGAUUUCGUUAGAAACGGGAAUAUCUUCACAUAAAACUAGACAGAAGCAUUCUCAGACACUUAUUUGGAUGUCUGCAAUGAUCUCACAGACAUUCUCAGACACUUCCUUGUGAUGUGUGCAUUGAACUCACAGAGUUGAAACUUUCUUUUGAUAGAGCAUAUUUGAAACACUCUUUUUGUAGAAUUUGCAAGAGGAUAUUUGGACAGAUUUGGGGCCUUCGCUGUAAAAGGGUAUACCUUCACAUAAAAACUAGACAGAAGCAUUCUCAGAAACUUCUUUGUGAUGUGUGUACUCAACUCACAGAGAUGAACCUUUCUUUUGAUAGAGCAGUUUUGAAAAACUCUUUUUGAAGGAUCUGCAAGUGGCUAUUUGGAUAGCUUUGAGGAUUUCGUUGGAAACGGGAAUAUCUUCACAUAAAAACUAGACAGAAGCAUUCUCAGAAGCUUCUUUGUGAAGUUUGCAUUCACCUCACAGAGUUGAACACUCCCUUUCAUUGAGCAGUUUUGUAACCCUCUUUUUGUAGUAUCUGGAAGUGAACAUUUGGAGGGCUUUGAGGUCUACGGUGAAAAAGGGAACAUCUUCACAUAAAAACUAGACAGAAGCAUUCUCAGAAACUACUUUGUGAUGUGUGUACUCAAUUCCCACAGUUGAAUCUUUGUUUUGAUAGAGCAGUUUUGAAACACUCUUUUUGUAGAAUCUGCAAGUGGAUAUUUGGAUACCUUUGAGUCUUUCGUUGGAAACGUGAAUAUCUUCACAUAUAAACAGUACACAACCAUUCUCAGAAACUUCUUUGUGAUGUUUGCAUACAACUCACAGAGUUGAACAUUCCUUUUCAUAGAGCAGAUUUGAAACACUCUUUUUGUAGAAUCUGCACGAGGACAUUUGGAGCGAUUGGAGACCUAUAGUGAAAAAGGAAAUAUCUUCACAUAAAAACUAAACAGAAGCAUUCUCAGAAACUUCUUUGAGAUGUGUGUACUCAACUCACAGAGUUGAAACUUUCUUUUGAUACAGCAGUUUUGAAACAGUCUUUUUGUGGAAUCUGCAUGUGGAUAUUUGGAUAGAUAUGAGGCUUUCUUUGGAAAAGGGACUAUCAUCACAAAAAAACUAGACAGAAGCAUUCUCAGAAAGUUCUUUGGGAUAUUUGCAUUCAACUCACAGAGUUGAACAUUCCUUUCCUGAGAGUAGUAUUGAAACACUCUUUUUGUAGAAUCUGCAAGUGGACAUUUGGAGCGAUUUGAGACCUAUGGUGAAAAAGGAAAUAUCUUCACAUAAAAAGUAGACAGAAGCAUUCUCAGAAACUGCUUUUUGAUGUGUGCACUAAACUCAAUGAGUUAAACUUUCCUUUGAUACAGCAGUUUUGAAACACUCUUCUUGUAGAAUUUAUAAGUGGAUAUUAGGAGAGCAUUGAGGAUUUCAUUGGAAAUGGGAUUAUCUUCACAUAAAACUAGACAGAAGCAUUCCAUGAAAUUUCUUUGUGAUGUGUGUACUCAACUUACAGAGUUGAAACUUUCUCUUGAUACAGUAGUUUAGAAACACUCUUUUUGUAGAAUCUGCAAGUGGAUAUUUGGAUAGCUUUGAGGCUUUCGUUGGAAACGGGAAUAUCUUCACAUAAAAACUAGACAGAAGGAUUCUCAGAAACUUCUUUCUGAUGCCUCCAUUCAACUCACAGUGUUGAACUUUCCUUUUCAUGGAGCAGUUUUGAAACAACCUUUUUGUAGAAUCUGUAAGUGGAAACUUGGAGCGCUUUGAGGCCUGUGGUGAAAAAGGAAAUAUCUUCCUAUAAAAACUAGACAGAAGAAUUCUCAGAAACUUCUUUGUGAUGUGUGUACUCAACUCACAGAGUUGUACUUUUCUUUUGAUAGAGCAGUUUUGAAACACUCUUUUUGCAGUGUCUGCAAGUGGAUAUUUUGUUAGCUUUGAAGAUUACAUUGGAAACGGGAAUAUCUUUACAUAUAAACUAGACAGAAGCAUUCUCAGAAACUUCUUUGUGAUGUUUGCAUUCACCUCACGGAGUUGAACAUUCCCUUUCAUAGAGCAGUUUUGAAAAACUCUUUUUGCAGUAUCUGGAAGUGGACAUUUUGAACGCUUUGAGACCUAUGGUGAAAAAGGAAAUAUCUUCACAUAAAAACUAGACGGAAGCAUUCUGAGAAACUACUUUGUGAUGUGUGUACUCAAUUCAUGUAGUUGAACCUUUGUUUUGAUAAAGCAGUUUUGAAGCACUCUUUUUGUAGAAUCUGCAUGUGGAUAUUUGGAUAGAUUUGAGGUUUUCGUUGGAAACGGGAAUAUCUUCACAUAAAAACUAGACAGAAGGAUUCUCAGAAACUUUUUUGUGAUGUUUGCAUUCAACUCACAGAGUUGAACAUUCCUUUUCAUAGCAGUUUUGAAACACUCUUUUUGUAGAUCUGUAAGUGGAAAAUUGGAGCUCUUUGAGGCCUGUGGUGAAAAAGGAAAUAUGUUCACAUAAAAACUAGACAGAAACAUUCUCAGAAGUUUCUUUGUGAUGUGUGUACUCAACUAACAGAUUUGAAACUUUCUUUUGAUACAGCAGUUUUGAAACACUCUUUUUGUUGAAUCUGUAAGUGGAUAUUUGGAUAGCUUUGAGGCUUUCGUUGGAAACGGGAAUACCUUCACUUAAAAACUAGAGAGAAGCAUUCUCAGAAAGUACCUUGUGAUGUUUGCAUUCAACUCAAAGAGUUCAACAUUCCUCUUGAUAGAGCAGUUUGGAAACCCUCUUUUUGUAUUAUCUGCAGGUGGAUAUUUGGACCUCUUAGAGGCAUUCUUUGAAACGGGUUUUCUUCAUAUAAACAAGACAGAAGAAUUCUCAGAAUCUACUUUGUGAUGUGUGCUUUCAACUCACGGAGUUUAAUCUUCCUUUCGAUAGAGCAGUUUAGAAACACUCUUUUUGUGGAAUUUGCAAGUGUACAUUUAUAGUGCUUUGAGGCCUAUGUUAGAAAAGGAAAUAUAUUCACAUAAAAACUGGACAGAAGCAUUCUCAGACACUAAUUCGUGAUGUUUGCAUUCAACUCACUGAUUUGUCCAUUCCUCUUAAUAAAGUAGUUUUGAAAUACUCUUUUUGUACAAUCUGCAAGUGGAUAUUUGGACUUCUUUGAGGCUAUCGUUGGAAAUGGGAUUUCUUCAUAUAAAACUUGACAGAAGAAUUCUCAGAAACUUCUUUGUGAUGUGUGCAUUCAACUCACAGAGUUUAACAUUUAUUUUGAUGGAGUAGAUUUGGAACACUCUUUUUGUAGAAUUUGCAAGGGUAUAUUUAGAGUGCUUUGAGGCCUAUGGAAGAAAAGGAUAUAUCUUCACAUAAAAACCAGACAGAAGCAUUCUCAGAAACUAUUUUGUGAUGUUUGCAUUCAACUCACAGAGUUUAAUAUUUCUUUUGGUAGAGCAGUUUUGAAUCACAGUUUUUGUAGUAUUUGCAAGUGCAUAUUUAGAGUGCUUUGAGGCCUAUGGUAGAAGAGGAAAUAUCUUCACAUAAAAACUAGACAGAAGAAUUGUCAGAAACUACUUUGUGAUGUUUGCAUUCCACUAACAGAUUUAAACAUUCCUCUUGAUAGAGCAGUUUUGAAACACUUUAUUUGUAGAAUCUGCAUGUGAAUAUUUGAAACUUUUUGAGGCAUUCGUUGGAAACGGGAUUUCUUCAUAGAAAAGAAGACAGAAGAAUUCUAAGAAACAUUUUGUGAUGUGUGCAUUCAACUCACAGUGUUGAAACUUCCUUUCAAUGGAGCAUUUUUGAAACACUCUUUUUGUAGAAUUUCCAAAUGAAUAUUUAGAGUGCUUGGAGGCCUAUGGUAGAAAAGUAAAUAUCUUCAUAGAAAAACUGGAGAGAAUCAUUCUCAUUAUCUACUUUGUGGUGUGUGCUUUCAACUCUCAGAGUUUAACAUUUCUUUUGAUAGAGCAGUUUUGAGACGCUCUUUUUGUAGAAUUUGCAAGUGUGUAUUUAGAGGGCUUUUAGGCCUAGGGUAGAAAAGGAAAUAUCUUCAUAUAAACACAAGACAGAAGCAUUCUCAGAAACUAUUUUGUGAUGUGUGCCCUCUACUAACAGAGUUGAACAUUCCUCUUGAUAGAGCAGUUUUGAAACACUCUUUUUGUAGAAUCUGCAAGUUGAUAUUUUGGCCUCUUUGAGGCGUUCAUUGGAAACGGGAUUUCUUCAUAUA
rnacentral:lncRNA from 1 species